rfam:Hepacivirus C isolate sP161684 polyprotein gene, complete cds
CCCCGUCGCCCACAGGACGUUAAGUUCCCGGGCGGCGGGCAGAUCGUUGGUGGAGUAUAUGUGCUGCCGCGCAGGGGCCCACGAUUGGGUGUGCGCGCGGUACGUAAGACUUCCGAGCGGUCGCAACCUCGCGGAC